GUUUUCGUUAUAAAAUACCGGCAUGGGAAUCAUUACCUUGAGUUCUGGUCUCUCCUCUGGGUCUCCUGCUGGAUUUUAUCUGACGUAAUUAUUCCGUGAUGUAUUGAGGACACAACCCUGACUUGCUAGGGGCAAGAUGCUUGGCCGACCUUAAAGUAUUGGUUUCCCUUUUUGUUUUUAGCCUUGAUAAACUGAAAUGCUUUGAGGAAGCACCCGUCACAGGGAGAUGGGCAUGAAGAAGCUACCUCUCCCACCCGCAGCUCUGGAACUUGGUGUGGAAACUCUGUAGCUUCCUGUGCAGAUGAAGAACCUGUCAUCAGAAACUACAGACUAUUGAAAACAAUCGGCAAAUGGAAUUUUGCAAAACUGAAGUUGGCAAGACAUGUCCUCACAGGCAGAGAGUAAAAUUAUUUGAAAUCUUUCAAAUUGGAAAAACCCUCUACAUAGUUAUGGAGUAUGCAAGUAGAGGUGAAGUAUUUGAUUAUUUGUUUGCAUCGGAAUAAUGGAGAAAAAAGAAGCAAGACAGGUAUGAAUUAGACAGGUCGUGUCUGCAGUCGAAUAUGCACCACAAGCACGCCGUUCACAGAGACCUCAAGGCUGAAAAUCUAUUGUUAGAUGCCAAUAUGAACAUUAAAGUAGCAGACUUUGGUUUAAGCAAUGAAUUUACUUUUGGCAGUAAACUCAACAUGUUUUGUGACAUUCCUCCAUACUCAGCCCCGGAGCUCUUCCAGGGCAAGAAAUACAAUGGGCCUGAGGUUGAGGUCAACGUGUGGAAUCUCGGGGUCAUUCUCUACAUGCUUGUCACAGGCUCACUUCUGUGUUGGGCAAAAUGUGAAGGUAUAAGAAGCAGUUGCAUCCAUGUACUAUACAAAACUAAAAGGAGUUUCAUAAAAUUGUAUGGAUUUAUAUUUUUAAUGUUAUAUCAGUUUAGGGGUUUCAGUGGGGUUUUUUGUUGCUUUUCACCUAAAAGUUGACUCACUAGUUUUCUUUCCUCUCUCCCUCCCCCAAAAAAAGUGGGAGAGUGCUUAUUAAGAGUGACGUACAGAAUCCCUUUCUAUAUGUCUACAGAUUGUGAGAACUUUCUCAAAUGUUUCCUGGUGCUCAAUCCAAUUAAAUGAGGCACUCUAGAGGUAAUCAUGUAAGUGAAAAUAAGUAAUAACUUUGGAGAGCUUUUAGAGUAUUUUUAGAACUUAGCUUGGUUUGUGUGGCAUAUUGAAUACUUGCUUAGGACUUUUUAAGCAGGAAUUGAGACAUAAAAAAAAUUUAAGUUACUCUUUGACCUAUAGACAAUGAAAUGUUGAAAAUAAAUUUUCCUAAAUAUUGUGAUUAUCAGGAUAUUUUCUUUUGUGUGGCUGAUGAACGGUUCACCUUUUCAGCUAAUCAUGAAAGACAGGUUGCUCAAUGCAGGGCAUGAGGAGGAUUAACUUGAACCAUUUGUUGAACCAGAACUAAACAUGUCAGACCAAAAAAGAAUAGGUAAUUGCUCUGUGCCUACAUGCUUAUGUGUGCAUAUGUUUGUAUAAGUAACAUAUUUCUGUUUUGACUCAUGUAUAUGCCUAAAAUGUAAAUAAUGGAACAUUAAGCACGAGUUAUAUAAUGAAUCAGUUUAUCUGUUCUGUCACAUUUAGGAACUUAACUGUGGUUUCCUACAAUAGCACCCAGUAACUCGGAAAGAGGUACUCAUUUGUGUUAGAAAAUGUGUGAUCUUUUAGGUCAAAUAAAGAAAAUUAUUUUACUCUGUAACAGAAUGAUUUCUUAUCUAAAUAAAACAGAUAAACUGUAUUAUACCCUUCUUUUUUAGAUAUUUUGGUAAGAAUGGGAUAUUCACAAGAAGAAAUUCAAGAAUCUCUCAGUAAAAUGAAAUAUGAAAUCACAGCCACAUAUUUGUUGUUGGGGAGAAAAAUCUUCAGAAGUAAGAGUAAUUAGAGAGGAAGAGCUGAAAUACCGUUUAUGUAAAUUAUCAGUUUAUGUAAACUAUUUUCAUAGUUUUUGUUUUUUAAAUAUGUAUAACAUAUUUGAUAUAUCAUUUUUUAAAUUUACUGGCAAAUACUAAACCAACUCCUAUGACCAUUAUAAACUACUAUUUUAACUUCAAAAUAAUAACCCUUAAUAAGUAAACAGAACAUUUUAAGCUAUUUGAAAAAGCCUAGAAAGAAGAUCAUAGAUACAUAGCUUUUUGUCACUUUUUCCAGCAGUCAGAAAAAUACUUUUGCCUGAGUUUAUGGUGGUUAUUUUUAAACAUUGUCAUUCUUCAUCUCUCUAAAUGAACUGUUUAUGAGAGGUCUGUGUGUUAUGAGUAGUUUCCUAAUAAAACAUUUGAGUUCAUGUUGGGGUUGUUUUUCUCAUUUUCUCUUAGUUGGAUAGUAAUGAUUCCAGUUCUAGCAGCAGUCUUUCACUUGCUAAGGUUAGGCGGAGCAGUGAUCUCAACAAUCACACUGGCCAGUCUCCUCCACACAAAGUGCGGAGAAGUGUUUCUUCAAGCCAGAAGCAGAGAUAUUGCAGUGCCCAUGUUCACAGAGAAGAGAAGGACCUCCGUCUCUGUCUUCAGGACUUUCCAUUCCUGCCGCUUUUAUCCGCACGCUGCCCUUCCAAAACACUAUUCCACUCUAGUUACUUCAACAUACAGUAUUAGCCAUGCAACCACCCCAGAUCGAAUCUGCUUCCCAAGAAGCACUGCCUGCGGCAGCACUUUCCAGGAUCAGCCAGGGGAGUGGCGAAGGGCAACUGAUAAUGGCCUCCCCGCCUCUCCCAGCCUGUCCCAUGAAGCCACACUAUUGCUCCAGACUCGAAGCUGAAGUUCCACUAUCGUUUUAGUAAAUUAACUUCAAAACUCAGAAAAGAGGAGGUCUAAGACUCUCCAGAGUGUCCAUGGCAACCGGCAUCACUCAAGACUAUGGCUGCCCUGUCAGCAUGGGGCCCAGAGUGAGCGGAGCAAAGCCCCUGGUAGACCCUUAAUGGCCCUGGAAUGUAAAUGAGAAAUAAACUUGGUUGUCACAAGCCACUGAGAUUUGGGGGCAGUUCGUCUGAGCACAGUAUAGCUUCCUUGACUGACAUAUGACCAUACCCUGAGCAUGUCUUUUCUGAGUUAUCCUUUCAGUCUGAUGUCAAUUUGGUAAAAAAGAGAUUUUUGCUGAAA